GGCAAUCUUGUCAUGGUGGGUGUAUUUGUGACGACAUACAGGGUUCAUUUUUGUAAACAUCCUACACUCAGCUCUAAAGGUCUGAAAUGGCUGGGAGGGGGGUGUUUACCUCAAUUGACCUGAAAAAACUGCAGGCGCUUGUUAAAGUUUGAUGACAAGCAAACUGAGAUGUAAAAUCUAACUGGGCCAUUUGUUUGCAAUCAGUGUCUGGUACAAUUGUUUUCUGGUAUUCUUAAACUUCUCUAGAUCUGUCACUUUGACCCUCAAUAGUGCGCCUUUGCAUCAUUGGAUGACAGCGCAACGGGAACAUUUUGACAUGGUCCAUUAUUUCCCAUGACCUUCUCCACGGUAGUAAGAUUUAAUGGCUAUUCAGAAUGCUUUAUAGCGGUUUCAUACAGUAACAUUUAUAACUGUACCUCUUCUACACUUGCAAGUAAAUAAAGUUUUCCUUUUUGUAUUUGCUAUCCAAAGGCUUUCUAUUGGGUUAAGAGGGGAAUGUUAAUCCAUUCUUUUUUUAGUUAUACGGUAUUAUAAAGC